rnacentral:rRNA from 1 species
AUUGAACGCUGGCGGCAGGCUUAACACAUGCAAGUCGAACGAGUGGCGGACUGGUGAGUAAUGCUUGGGCACCUAGCUUAUGGAGGGGGAUAACUACGGGAAACUGUAGCUACUACCGCGUACCAUAGGAUGAGCCGAAGUGGGAUUAGGUAGUUGGUGAGGUAAAGGCUCACCAAGCCGACGAUCUCUAGCUGGUCUGAGAGGAUGACCAGCCACACUGGGACUGAGACACGGCCCAGACUCCUACGGGAGGCAGCAGUGGGGAAUAUUGUACAAUGGGCGCAAGCCUGAUGCAGCCAUGCCGCGUGUAUGAAGAAGGCUUUCGGGUUGUAAAGUACUUUCAGUCGGGAGGCGGUACCGACAGAAGAAGCACCGGCUAACUCCGUGCCAGCAGCCGCGGUAAUAC